GGGAGUGUAGCUCAGUGGAAAAGCACUUGCCUAGCAUGCAUGAGGCCCUAGGUUCAAUCCUUACCUCUACCA
rfam:Cavia porcellus supercont2_32 genomic scaffold, whole genome shotgun sequence.